AAGAUAAAUCACUAUCCCUCUGGUUCUUUUUUAUAUAAAAUCCUCAUCCUCGGGAUAAAUUCUUUGGGGCUAACAUCCUCUUUUUAGAUGAGGGCCGUGAAGCUCAUAAAAACCUUUGGACUCUUUCAUCCCACAUAUCACCCAUAAAUCAUAACCACCUUUUCGUGUCAUCGUUUCUUGCUUUCUACAGACACAACAUAGGUUACAUCUGUAUGCAUUCACCUAAGUAGGGAGAGUGUGUCAAAGAAUAUACUUACCAAUGUACAACAACUUCCAACCAGUUGGUCCAACUCUUCCUUGAACAAGGCUUUGUCUCAAUAUAUGUGAAAAAAGAUUCACAAAUAUCAUAAAUAUAAUAAAUUAAUGUUCAAUUUUAUAUCAUGAUAGAUGACAACAU